UACGUAGGGGGGCAAGCGUUGUCCGGAAUCAUUGGGCGUAAAGCGCGUGUAGGCGGUUUGGUAAGUCCGCUCUGAAAGUCCGGGGCUCAACCCCGGAAGGCGGGUGGAUACUGUCAGACUAGAGUGCGGAAGAGGCGAGUGGAAUUCCCGGUGUAGCGGUGAAAUGCGCAGAUAUCGGGAGGAACACCAAUUGCGAAGGCAGCUCGCUGGGACGUAACUGACGCUGAGACGCGAAAGCGUGGGGAGCAAACAGG
rnacentral:rRNA from 1 species